rnacentral:rRNA from 1 species
UACGUAGGGGGCAAGCGUUGUCCGGAAUCAUUGGGCGUAAAGAGCGUGUAGGCGGCUUGGUGAGUCCGCUGUGAAAGUCCAGGGCUCAACCCUGGAAAGCCGGUGGAAACUGUCAAGCUUGAGUCCGGAAGAGGCGAGUGGAAUUCCUGGUGUAGCGGUGAAAUGCGCAGAUAUCAGGAGGAACACCAAUGGCGAAGGCAGCUCGCUGGGACGGUACUGACGCUGAGACGCGAAAGCGUGGGGAGCAAACAGG